CCUACGGGUGGCAGCAGUGGGGAAUAUUGCACAAUGGGGGAAACCCUGAUGCAGCGAAGCCGCGUGAGUGAAGAAGUAUUUCGGUAUGUAAAGCUCUAUCAGCAGGGAAGAAAAUGACGGUACCUGAUUAAGAAGCACCGGCUAACUACGGGCCAGCAGCCGCGGGAAUACGUAGGGGGCAAGCGUUAUCCGGAUUUAAUGGGGGUAAAGGGAGCGUAGACGGCAGCACAAGUCUGGAGUGAAAUGCCGGGGCCUAACCCCGGAACUGCUUUGGAAACUGUGCAGCUUGAGUGCAGGAGAGGUAAGUGGAAUGCCUAGUGUAGCGGUGAAAUGCGUAGAUAUUAGGAAGAACACCAAUUGCGAAGGCAGCUUACCGGACCGUAACUGACGUUGAGGCUCGAAAGCGUGGGUAGCAAACAGGAUUAGAUACCCGAGUAGUC
rnacentral:rRNA from 1 species